CAAAGGGACGGGAGAAGCGCAACUCUGCACCGCACCGUGCGCCAGCAUCCCGCAGGCCCCGAGGGCGCUCCGGCCCGCCCGGAGCCCCCGGCCCACGCUGGAGCCUGGCUCAGGGGCCCAGAGAGCGUGUGGGUACGUAGACAGACCCUCCAAGACUUGACUUCCGCGGAAACCAGCGGCAGAGCGAGUGCAGGACGAGGCGAGGAUGUGUGGCCGAUACACAAGGAGUUUCCUUGACAAGGAAAGUCACCGAUGGCCAUCUAGUUUCAAGCCGCAAGCGCCGGCCGGGUGUCUGUACACUGAGGCCUGGGAGGGGAGCGCCGGCCUCGCCAGAGGAAGGAGCACCGGGGAAGAAGGUCCGAGAGGAAAUAAUCAGUGAAAUAUUUACAGAAGACGAUGGGAAACUGAUUUAAUUCCUGGUGGACACAGGUGCUUCUGAUUUCCUCAGUCUGUGUCUCCCCACCCACGACCCUUCUUUUCCCUGGCUUAGAUACA